rnacentral:tRNA from 1 species
UCCCUGGUGUCUGAGCGGUAAAGAAUCCGCCUGCAAUGCAGAAGACUCAGGUUUGAUCCCUGGGUAGGGAA